UUCACAUCCAGUUCUGUUGUGUAAUUAGCAAUAGAAAUGGCAGUCCAAGUCCAAGGCAGUGUUUUGGGCAACACCAGCAUUCUCCUUUGCCUCUCUAAGGCUCCCUCUCCACCAUUCCCAAUGCUUAUUCCCCUACGCCUGCACAAGGCCAAGAGGUGCUGCUUUGUUGCAGCUCACUCCACAAGCUCCACAAAGGCUGCGCCAUUAAGCUGUAACCAUCGAGAAAGUGGUCGUCCGUUGGCCAACUUUCCCCCAGACAUAUGGGGUGAUCGUUUCCUCACUCUUUCCUUUGAUAUCUCGAAAAGCAAGUUCAUGCAAGAAUCAAACCCAAGACCUAGUAUGUAGAGGAUCUUGAGGGAGCUAUGGUACCAUCAGAAUAAUUAGGAAUAGAACUUAAUCGGUGCUCAAGACAAGUUGAAGUGUUGAAAGAAACGGUGAAGGAUAUGUUAAUGGCUUCUACAACUGAUCCUUUACACAAUGUUCUUUUGAUAAAUUCCUUAUGCCGCCUAGGAGUAUCCUACCAUUUCGAGACCGAAAUAGAGCAACAAUUAACUCACUGUUUUGAUGAAUUAAGUAAACUCAUUCAUAACUAUGGUUAUAAUUUGCACGCAAUUGCAAUCAUAUUUCAAGUUUUCAGAUCUCAUGGUUAUAAUAUGUCUUCUGGUUAGUACUUAUCCUGCGA